rnacentral:lncRNA from 1 species
UCGUGUUUGCUAGCAUGUGGGUCUUUCUUGUGGCCCAAGCCGGUCUAUAGAUCUAGAUAGGGACACAUAGACUUGGUAGGGGCCACAUGACAUCUAGACUUGACUCCCAAGCCAAUGUUCACAUCUCUACGCUGCAACGUUCUUCACUUCUUCUUUCCCUGUGACCGCCUUCUAUCAAGCCAUUCAAGCCUCUGUCCUCACCCAAUCACGAUCUCCCCUUCUGCAAAUGGUGAUCCUCUUUUUUUAUGUCCUUUCUUUUCGCAGGCUUGGUGUUAAAUGUAUGGCUAUCGAAACAUCUCAAGCGAGCUUUGGUAUUUGUGUUUUCAAAAGAGGAGAGAUUAUCAACCCUUUUGUGCAAGCUCCAAAAAUAGCACACGACGGAAAAAUAGACACCUAGUAAAAUCGCUUAAAAGACUUAUAUUUUGGAACGGAGGGAGUACAUGUUAAUUAUCGGAGAAAUUCUUUGAAAGUUUCAGAGUUUUCAUGCAUGUCUCAAGAUGCUCUAAUUUUUGCAUGCUCAUGAGAUGUACCCCGGAAAAAGGUGUGUGAUGGCAAAAUGUUCUCGGUACCUAGCACUAGUAGACACAUUACGUUUUAUAGACAGCAAAGUCAUCAUUUUUAUUAUGUCUUUACUUUGCAAAGUCCUUGUGAACAUCAUGCUUUUAAUUUGCAAAGUCCUUGUGAUUGUUAUUAUGUCUUUGAUUUGCUUUCGGCUGCGUAAAAGCAAAUCAAAAAUUUCAAGUACAUCUAGUAGCAGCUACCGGGAAGGUUAGACACGCUACUAAUAUAUAAUCGGGGCGGGCCAUAGUUAAUCAGUUUCAUAGUACGUACGGCCGAGGUAGAUUUAAUGGUGGCGAGGACAUCAAACACCACGUCCGUCCGUACCGUAAGAUGCAUGAUGAUCGAUUCCCUAUCAUGGGCUAGUGAAGUACUCCUACUUAAUUUAGCCAGUGCAAUGAACGACCUUGCUCAAGGACAGACAUGCAUCAUGGAUGGCUGCGGAGGGAAAUUAUUUGAGUAUUUUUUUAUGAAAAAAACUUACUAUCUAUUCAUUUACAAUCAUGAUAGGACAACGAACAUCAGAAAUGAUAAAAAUUACUUCUAGGUGAGUAGGCCACCUAGCGAUGACUACAAACACGAACGUGUCAUUGUCAUUAUACCUCCCUCGGCGGAACCGGGCAAAACUUAUUAUAGUAGACAGUCGAAAAGUCGUCGUGUUAAGGUCCUAUAAAAACAACGCAUCAUAACAUCAACCACCAUUGACAAAGAGAAGUAUAAAUCAGCCGAAAGCAAAUUUAGCCUCCAUACUGAAGGAUUGAUCGGCCGGAAGCAAAUUAUUCGAACUUGAUAGCAGUUCUGCUUCAUAUUUAUUGCUUCCUCCAUUUCAAAACAAGCGUCGUGAUUAACAAAAACCAUGACACUUACUGUAUUUUGAAACAGAGGGGGUGUAGUAAUUAAUUCCACAAGCAAAGCCAGACUCCACGCAUACAUCCGAAGAUGGGUUCAGCUGAAUUUGUGUGGUUUUUGAUCGUCUGCAAAAAUAGGCACAAGAGAAAAAUGUUACUACAAAUUAAGCCGGGUGUGCAACUGGAAACACCUAGGAGUAUCCUUUGAUGGUCCAGCCGGAUAUGCUCUUGGAUGAAUUAGCCUAGGAAAUGGAGAUACCAAGACAAGCAACCGAUCGGGACCAGUAGCACGAGCAGCAGUUUUUUUUCUUCUUUUUUUGGACAGGUAGCACGAGCAGCAGUUAAUUAUAUGUCCAGAAAGUUGAACAGAGCAUUAGUUGUAAGAAGCACGGGGCUGUUGAAUGUGCGUGAUUCGUUGGCGAUCGACAUUACUUGGGCAAUAAUUUCUCCCUGGCAUGGCAAGCUGGUUUGGCUCAUCUCAUCUGCCGUUUUGCGUGCACGCGUCCGAUUGUCAAGGCCGAUCCGAUCUGAUCCUGACAGGUGAUGCAAGUCUUACCUAUAGUUCCUUUUGGACUGCGGGUGUCUUAGCUAUGAUCGUUGUUUAACAAGUGCACAAGAUUUGUAAUCAGCAUUGUUUCUUCUUCAUUUGGACUCUGAAAAACCGUCAGGGG